UUGUUGAAAGGUUAGUUUUUUUCUUUAAUUUUUGUUUAUCAUCUUAGCUAAAAUGCUUAUGAUGAGGUAUGUUCACUCCUAAACUGCACAUGAGUUAUUCUUAUAUGGCUUUUCCUCAAAGAUGUGUAUGAACUGCGGCUGGUUGAUGACAAUAUGCCUAUAAUUUAACCACCUGUAACUCUACUUUCAUAAAUAGGUUUCCCUAUCUCCUCCCAUACCAUGGGCCAGAGGAGCAUGACCACCUGGGUGAGGAGUUUCUGAAUUAUCAGACCAUGCCAACAACCUCCCUUCAGGACGAAACUGAGAUGGAAAGCUUCUGGGCUGGAAUGGCAACACGGAAACAUAAGGUGACAGGAGCCAAAGAAUUUGAGAGGCUUGCUGCCGUCCCCAAGCUGGUCCUGGUGUUGCCCCAUUCGAAUGCAGAUGCUGAGAGGGUGUUUUCAGUUGUGGGACUGAACAAAACUAAGACCAGAAAUAGCCUGGCAUUGGAUGGCACCCUGUCCUCAAUAAUGGCCAUAAAGAUGGCCGACCUGGAGCCCUGUUUCAGAUGGGAGCCCCCCUCAGAGGUCAUCAGGGCCUCCAAGAAGGCCACAGGCCAGUACAACCUUGCCCACAGAUCUUAGAAAAUUACUAACCAGCUUCUGAUCUGCAUCUGAUACCUCAUUUUUAGUUAUUUUUGUCAUGUGUUGAUCCAUUGUAUUGCUUAAAAAGGCUACUGUAUAAGCACUUUAUUUGUUGCACUUUUUUGUUUGAUAGAACGUGUGGUUGGAGGCUUUGAAUAAUGAAAAAUAUUUCUCCCUAACUAAUGUUGUGUAAUUUUUUGCUGAACAUAAAUCAUUAAGUGCUCUUUAGAAUACAAUUAUUAACAAUAUAGGUUAGGUUUCAGUUAAGAAUUAGUUGAAUACCAUUGUAAUCAAAAUGUCAAUCAACCUACCUUGGUCAAAUCUUAAACACAGGUCUACUAAUUAGGCUAUAUUGUGGUACAUAGACAGUCAUUGAGGCACAACAAUAGUUUUCUGGUUGAAUGUUCAGCUCAAGUCUAGAAGGCCCUACAAGUCAUGAUCAGAUGAACAUGAAUCAGAAUAAGUUCAGGUAUUGCACAUCUUUAGCAUACCACCCAAAAAUCCACUAGAAUGCAGGAAAUAACAUCACCUUAAACCAAAAUUCAGCUAUGUCUUGGCUUCACAGAAUGUAACCAAAGUUGUCCAUCUCCAGUAGGCCGCCCCUAUCAACGUCUUUGGGUCCCACAAACCACCAGGAUGCAGGGCACAACAUGGGUACAACGCCAAAUUAAUUCCAAUUCCCU
ensembl:lncRNA